CCUACGGGAUGCAGCAGUGGGGAAUAUUGGACAAUGGGCGAAAGCCUGAUCCAGCAAUGCCGCGUGUGUGAAGAAGGUCUUCGGAUUGUAAAGCACUUUCGACGGGGACGAUGAUGACGGUACCGUAGAAGAAGCCCCGGCUAACUUCGUGCCAGCAGCCGCGGUAAUACGAAGGGGGCUAGCGUUGCUCGGAAUGACUGGGCGUAAAGGGCGCGUAGGCGGUUUAUGCAGUCAGAUGUGAAAUCCCCGGGCUUAACCUGGGAACUGCAUUUGAGACGCAUAGACUAGAGGUCGAGAGAGGGUUGUGGAAUUCCCAGUGUAGAGGUGAAAUUCGUAGAUAUUGGGAAGAACACCGGUGGCGAAGGCGGCAACCUGGCUCGAUACUGACGCUGAGGCGCGAAAGCGUGGGGAGCAAACAGGAUUAGAUACCCUCGUAGUC
rnacentral:rRNA from 1 species